rnacentral:rRNA from 1 species
GGACUACCGGGGUUUCUAAUCCUGUUUGAUCCCCACGCUGUCGCGCCUGAGCGUCAGUUACGGGCCAGUGAGCCGCCUUCGCCACCGGUGUUCUUCCCAAUAUCUACGAAUUUCACCUCUACACUGGGAAUUCCACUCACCUCUCCCGUACUCAAGCCUAACAGUUUCAAAGGCAAUUCCAGAGUUGAGCUCUGGGCUUUCACCCCUGACUUGGAAGGCCGCCUGCGCGCGCUUUACGCCCAGUAAUUCCGAACAACGCUAGCCCCCUUCGUAUUACCGCGGCGGCUGGCAC